UCUUUUUAAUUGCUUAAAAGUUCUAGACUAUGAAUUUCUUUGAAUCGGUGCUUUACUACCAAGCCUUAAACAUUUACUAGUUUCUCAGGGACAGGUGGGAAAUUAAUCAGUCUAAUUCUUCACAUUUAAAAAUCAAUAGCAUUUUGCAUAUUAUUAUUUAAAGUGUCAUGGUGAACUGGAAAAAUAAAAUAUGUAUAGCCCUUUUAUGCCAUCCUCACCCACUUUCCUAUAAAUUGUGGUAUUUUGUUUAUUUAGAUGAGAAAAAAAUUCUUAUGAGUGUAUCAAAUGGCCUGGGCUACCAUGACAAAAUACCAUAAAUGGGGUGACUUAACAGAAAUUUAUUUCUCACAAUUCUGGAGGCUGGUAAGUCCAAGAUCAAGGUGGCUGCAAGGUAGGUUUCAUUCUGAGACCUCUUCCCUUGGUUGUAGACGGCUGCCUUUUUUCACUGUGUGCUCACAUGACCUCUUUGUGCGAGCGUGUGGGAAGAAAGAAAGAGAUCUUUCUCUCUCUGCUUCUUCUUAUAAGGCCACAAAUGCUAUUGGGUUAGGUUUUAUGACCUGAUUCAACCUUAAUUACCUCCUAAAGACCUCAUUUCCAACUAUAGUCAUACUGGAGUUUAGGGUUUCAGCAUGUGAAUUUUAGGAGGACACAUGUAAAUCUAUAGUAAUGAGUGAGCUCUAUUUAAAGAAAAUGUGCUGUAUAAAAAUCUACAAAUACAAAAUCAUUCGCAUAAUAAAAGGGAAAGGAACUAGAUGCAUUCUCUGUUGGCCAGGCAUUUUAUAUCACAUUUCACCGUCCAAUAACUGUGAGAUGGUAUUAUUCCUGUUUUAUAGAUGAGGAUAAUGAAGCCAGAGAGAACGGUAAAGUUGGAAUUCAAACUUAGGUCUGUUUCUAGUCUUCGUGUUCUUGUCAUUGUUGACCCAUGAAAGGAGCCUUUAUUUCCAAAAGCGGUCACUCUGGAUCCCUUUAAAAAAUGUGAAUUUUGGCUGUCACUUCCACUCAGCUGUGAACAGUCCAAGUGCCAGGAUGUGUCUUUCUCACCCCUGUAUCACCUGUGCAUAGUCGAGCAGCACCUGGCACUAAGAAGGUGAUGGGCACAAAAAGACUAGUUGCUGAUCCUGAGUGAUGAUGUCAGUGUCUUCAUUUACAACCCUCUAAGCUCAGCUUCUAGGAGACUGCAAGGAUGGUCCGCACCAUCACAAAGCCAGUUCCUAAAAGGUAGACUUGAAUCUCACUUGAGAAAAAAAUACAGUUCCAUUAAUGGCAAGGAGAAUUUUUGGCUAUUGGUAUAAAACUAUGAUCACUGCCAAAACUGAAAGAAGUAUUAGAGAAAAACUUCCAUGGCAAUGACUUCCUGCAGAAAACUGGAUCCGACCUUCAACUGCUGGAUAAAUUACUCUCAUUUUUGAGAUGUAUGCGGAAACCACGUUGAUAUCUUGGUCACCUAGAAAAAUACAUACAUUAUUUUAACUACAGAAAAAAUAAUUAUCAAUUAACAGUAAGAAGGGGAAAGCCAAUGUACUUCUCGAAAGUCCUUUGUAAUUAGAUAUAAGAGGGAAGAUAUUCCUUUCGUAAGCAGGGAUAAAGUGUCACAGAAGACAAGAACAAUGGCGAUCACGAGUGCAAAGAAUCUGAUUGCUUUUUCAUGUUCCAGAUGUGAAAUGUGCCCAUUGUCCAAUAUUGGAUAAUUGGGGGGAAUAAAUUGUCUAAGCUCUGAGAUGACUCAAUAUAGAGGCUCUUGUCAUCAAUGCCUCUGAACCACUCCGGACUGAGGGCAUUAGGGAACUGGGUCAAUAUCAGUUAGCUGAGACAUAAAAGUGGCUUGUUUUUUUUGGCUUGCCUGCUCAGGAAUCAUUUUCACGUAACUGAUGCUGAGGCAAUGGAGUCUUCACUUGCAAAAGAGAGGAGAACCGACAAAUACUAAUCGCCUGUAACUACAACAAACCCCUAGGGACCUGACAGACUUUUAUUUAAAAAAUGCCACACUACAGGGCUUCCCUGGUGGUGCAGUGGUUGAGAGUCUGCCUGCCGAUACAAGGGACAUGGGUUUGUGCCCCGGUCUGGGAGGAUCCCACGUGCCGCGGAGCGGCUGGGCCCGUGAGCCAUGGCCGCUGAGCCUGCACCUCCGGAGCCUGUGCUCUGCAACGGGAGAGGCCACAGCAGUGAGAGGCCCGCGUACCGCCAAAAAAAAUUUUUGUGUGUGAUUAUGUGAGGUGACAGAUGUUAACUAGACUUAUUGUGGUGAGCAUUUCGCAAUGUAUACAAAUGUUGAAUCAUUAUGUUGUACACCUGAAACUAAUAUAAUGUUAUAUGUCAAUUAUACCUCAAUUAAAAACA